rnacentral:piRNA from 1 species
UCUUAGUACUGAAGAUGGCAUUGAACGU